GACGAACGCUGGCGGCGUGCUUAACACAUGCAAGUCGAACGGAAAGGCCCUGCUUUUGUGGGGUGCUCGAGUGGCGAACGGGUGAGUAACACGUGAGUAACCUGCCCUUGACUUUGGGAUAACUUCAGGAAACUGGGGCUAAUACCGGAUAGGAGCUCCUGCUGCAUGGUGGGGGUUGGAAAGUUUCGGCGGUUGGGGAUGGACUCGCGGCUUAUCAGCUUGUUGGUGGGGUAGUGGCUUACCAAGGCUUUGACGGGUAGCCGGCCUGAGAGGGUGACCGGCCACCUUGGGACUGAGGUACCGCCCAGACUCCUACGGGAGGCAGCAGUGGGGAAUAUUGCACAAUGGGCGGAAGCCUGAUGCAGCAACGCCGCGUGCGGGAUGACGGCCUUCGGGUUGUAAACCGCUUUCGCCUGUGACGAAGCGUGAGUGACGGUAAUGGGUAAAGAAGCACCGGCUAACUACGUG
rnacentral:rRNA from 1 species